rnacentral:rRNA from 1 species
CUGAUGCAGCCAUGCCGCGUGUGUGAAGAAGGCCUUCGGGUUGUAAAGCACUUUCAGCGAGGAGGAAAGGUUACUGGCUAAUAUCCAGUAGCUGUGACGUUACUCGCAGAAGAAGCACCGGCUAACUCCGUGCCAGCAGCCGCGGUAAUACGGAGGGUGCGAGCGUUAAUCGGAAUUACUGGGCGUAAAGCGUGCGCAGGCGGUUUGUUAAGCGAGAUGUGAAAGCCCCGGGCUCAACCUGGGAACUGCAUUUUGAACUGGCAAACUAGAGUCUUGUAGAGGGGGGUAGAAUUCCAGGUGUAGCGGUGAAAUGCGUAGAGAUCUGGAGGAAUACCGGUGGCGAAGGCGGCCCCCUGGACAAAGACUGACGCUCAUGCACGAAAGCGUGGGGAGCAAACAGGAUUAGAUACCCUGGUAGUCCACGCCGUAAACGAUGUCUACUCGGAGUUUGGUGUCUUGAACACUGGGCUCUCAAGCUAACGCAUUAAGUAGACCGCCUGGG